UGGGGAAUAUUGGGCAAUGGGCGCAAGCCUGACCCAGCCACGCCGCGUGAGUGAUGAAGGCCUUCGGGUCGUAAAGCUCUGUGGGGAAGGACGAAAAAACAUUGGCUAAUAUCCAAUGGCUUGACGGUACUUCCUUAGCAAGCACCGGCUAACUCUGUGCCAGCAGCCGCGGUAAUACAGAGGGUGCAAACGUUGCUCGGAAUCAUUGGGCGUAAAGCGCACGUAGGCGGCCUGAUAAGUCGGUAGUGAAAGCCCUCGGCUUAACCGAGGAAGUGCUAUCGAAACUGCCAGGCUUGAGUACCGGAGAGGAUCGCGGAAUUCCCGGUGUAGAGGUGAAAUUCGUAGAUAUUAGGAAGAACACCAGUGGCGAAGGCGGCCAACUGGCUCGAUACUGACGCUGAGGUGCGAAAGCGUGGGGAGCAAACAGGAUUAGAUACCCCGGUAGUCCCUGAGCGGGCUGGCAAGGCGCAU
rnacentral:rRNA from 1 species